AACGAACGCUGGCGGCAGGCUUAACACAUGCAAGUCAAGCGCCCCGCAAGGGGAGCGGCAGACGGGUGAGUAACGCGUGGGAAUCUACCCAUCUCUACGGAAUAACGCAUGGAAACGUGUGCUAAUACCGUAUACGUCCUUCGGGCGAAAGAUUUAUCGGAGAUGGAUGAGCCCGCGUUGGAUUAGCUAGUUGGUGGGGUAAAGGCCUACCAAGGCGACGAUCCAUAGCUGGUCUGAGAGGAUGAUCAGCCACACUGGGACUGAGACACGGCCCAGACUCCUACGGGAGGCAGCAGUGGGGAAUAUUGGACAAUGGGCGCAAGCCUGAUCCAGCCAUGCCGCGUGAGUGAUGAAGGCCCUAGGGUUGUAAAGCUCUUUCACCGGUGAAGAUAAUGACGGUAACCGGAGAAGAAGCCCCGGCUAACUUCGUGCCAGCCGCCGCGGUAAGAC
rnacentral:rRNA from 1 species